UUUCCGUAGGUGAACCUGCGGAAGGAUCAUUACAAUUUUGGCGCACCAAGAUGCCCUCGGGCGUUGCGGUGUUGUCAAUCGAGAUACCAACCCAUGUCUUUUGAGCACCUCACGUUUCCUCGGCAGGCUCGCCUGCCAAUGGGGACCCACCACAAACCCAUUGCAGUACAAGAAGUACACGUCUGAACAAAACAAAACAAACUAUUUACAACUUUCAACAACGGAUCUCUUGGUUCUGGCAUCGAUGAAGAACGCAGC
rnacentral:misc_RNA from 1 species